GCCCGGGUGGUCUAGUGGUAUGAUUCGCGCUUAGUAAGUUCCACUUGAAUCAACCAAUUACCAUCUCAGUUACUAACAGCAUCUCCAGGGGUUAACCCUUAGCAUAUCUGCGCGAGGUCCCGCGUUCGAUCCGCGGCUCGGGCC